rnacentral:rRNA from 1 species
CCUACGGGAGGCAGCAGUGAGGAAUAUUGGUCAAUGGCCGGAAGGCUGAACCAGCCAUGCCGCGUGAAGGUCAGUGCCCUAUGGGCGUUAAACUUCUUUUGUGCGGGAGCAAUAAUGGUCACGUGUGGCCAGACGAGAGUACCGUACGAAUAAGCAUCGGCUAACUCCGUGCCAGCAGCCGCGGUAAUACGGGGGAUGCAAGCGUUAUCCGGAUUUUUUGGGUUUAAAGGGUGCGUAGGGUGUGAGGUAAGGCAGCGGUGUAAUGCCUCCGCUCAACGGGGUGAAGUGCCAUUGAUACUGCCUUGCUGGAGUGCGGAUGCCGUGGGAGGAAUGUGUGGUGUAGCGGUGAAAUGCAUAGAUAUCACACAGAACACCGAUUGCGAAGGCAUCUCACGAAUCCGCGAUUGACGCUGAGGCACGAAAGCGUGGGUAUCAAACAGGAUUAGAUACCCCUGUAGUC